rnacentral:lncRNA from 1 species
GAGCCUGACCGGUUAGCUCGGCAUCGGAUUGAGACGAACCGGGUCGAGCAAGCUAACCGAGAUCCAAUCACAUCGCAACCGGAACUAAAUCCGCUGCAGUUAACGGAGGAGGAAGUCUGAGGAGGUGCCACUAAGAUGGAACUGGACAAAAGUGGGAGGAGCGUGAGGUGGCGCGUGCCAGAGAUAGGCAAAGACAAGGCCAUUGUAGUAGGUAGGCGACUGAGGAAGCGAAACGAAGGUACUAGAGGUUUUAGUGUGGAUAGGGUUUUUGGUAGAUUUAUUCAUUUUUGCUUUCUUUAUAUUAUGGAAAAUUAUAUAUGGGCUUCUCAUAAACUUGGCUUGAAGCCCACAAAAUCUAGACCUUCGCAAAUUAUCCGGAUAUCAAGUCCCCCAAACCAGAAGAUCUUGGAACUGUGAAGUUUCCUCUUUCAGCCCACUGCUAACAUGACAGACGUUGUCUCUCCUUUUGAACACACGCGACAGACAUGGAAGAGAGUCGUUAUGUAAUAUGUAUGCUAGGCCUGGGCGUACGGGUCUUCGGAUCGGAUUCGAGCCGGUUCUUUUCGGGUCUUAAAUAUUUAGACCCAAUAGGUAUUUAGAAAUUUCCGGUUCGGGUUCGGGUCGGUUCUUCUCGGGUUCGGGUCGGUUCGGGUUCGGGUCGGUUCGGGUUUGGGUUGGUUCGAGUCUAUAAUUAAAACACCCGUAAUUUUUCGGAUCCAUAUCGGGUCCGGGUCGGGGUCGGUAUUUAAGAUCUGAAAAAGACAUGAUAUACCCAAUUUCAUUAACUUUAGUUGAAUAUUUGUCAUAUAUAUCUAAAAUUUUACAAAACAACUUAAAUGAAACUAUUAAUAACUAAAAUAAAACAUUUUAAAAACUCUAAAUUUUACAUUUUAAAGCUUUAUAUUACUUUAAAAAUGUUAAAAAAUAAUAACAAAUGUUGUUAACAAAAGAUAUUUCAACUAAAUCAUAAUAUAAUAUAUAUAUAAAAUAAACACAAAACAUCAUAGUUUUAGAUAUACAUGUUUUUAAGUCGGGUACAAAUCGGUUCUUAUCGGGUCGGGUCUAUUAUCUAAGGAGAAGAUAACAGUCAAGUUCGGAAGAUAAAUGUCAAGUUUCAAAGGAUAAACACCAAUAUCGAAAAUGGCGAACAUACACGAGAAGAGGAAGGAGAAAAAAGCAAGCAAAACUGAGAAGAGACAAAACUGCAUCUCCGAGAACACUAAGGUAUGUCCGACUUUUUUCAAGAUCAAACUUGGAAUUUUCGUAGGAAGGUACUAAGCAAUAAAACGCUUUUGAGACUGCCAUAGAAUUUUAAGGAACUUAAAACUUAGGUGGAUAGUCUAGUGAACUGUGUCAUAGGCAAUUUUUCCUUUUGCUUUUUAAUUGCUCUGGCAGAUCUUGCUAACUGAUCUAAACUCUCGCAAAAACGAGAAACGAUUGCCACGCAUACUUAGCUCCCUUCCCAAAAAAACAAAAAAAAAAAAAAAAAAAAUUCAAAAACAGUUUCAACAAAAAGGAGACAUACCGUUCCUGAAUCAAAAUAAUCAUAUAAUCAACAGUAAAUGUGUUUUCUUAGGGGGACUUGAUUUAGGCGUGACGGCGCAGUUAAUUGUAACAAAAAUCUAUGUAUAUAUACAUAUGUAUCUAUACAUUUUUCUUAUACCCUUAGCAUUAAACUAAAGUCAAUGGUCUUAGGGUACAAGAAGAUGACACUAUGCAAUGGAACUUAAAACAUAUAUACACAUUUUUUUACAGACAUUAUUGCAGAGAAUCAAACAUACAGAGACAAGUCCUACCCUAACAAUACUCGCAAGAGAACCAUACGAGAGCAUGAUUAUUGGGAGGUUCUUAGGGUGAAGUUUUUAGCGGAAUAUAAGAACCCGUCUCUUAACUUUUAACUAAAAAAACUAAGAGCCGUCUCUUAAAACUCUUAUUUAAGAAGAGCUUCUUAGUUUUUUUAGUUAAAAGUUAAGAGUCAGGUUCUUAUAUUCCGCUAAGAACUCCAUCUUAAGAACCCUCCAAUAAUCAUGCUCCGAGGGAGGAGAGGAAUUUACGUGCGACAACUGGCUGAAGACGAACGGGAAAGGAAGGAAAGGAGAUACGGUUGCUGACGUCACUAGAGGGACUAUGCGAGAUUCUUAAGCCACUGAGCUGUGACGUGACAAAUCGGAGCUCCUUUGACUUAGCGACGAGCUUUGCCGAUGAGGUCAUUCGCAGCCAAGCGCCAUGCGUAGCCAUUGUCGUCAUUUUCUGGAUAAUGAAGGAGAUUGGGCUCUUCUUCUUUUCAUUUAUUUUGUCGAAAAGCCUUCUUCGUCGUCCAGAAGGUUAUAACAUGUUUAGUGGGGUUCUUAGGAUGAUGUUUUUAUCGGAAUAUAAAAACGCGUGUCUUAACUUUUAACAAAAAAAAGCUAAGAACCGGUUCUUAAAAAUUAAGAGACGGAUUUUUAUAUUUCGCUAAAAACCCCAAUAAUCAUGCUCUUGCAUUCCCUAAACCGUCAGUUUUAUUUGAUAACCAGAUAGCGUUUAUUUGAAGGAUAGUAAGUUCGGUUAUCGGCCAAUCUCAGUUCCAAGAGCAAGCCGGUUAAAUCAAAAUCAAAAUCAAAACCGGGACCUUAAGCAACCAAAACAAAAUGUAUGGUUUCAACUUCAUUUUUUAAAUUCUUGAAUGCACAAAUGUAAGGAGACACAAUUUACAUUAUUAUAUAAAAAAAGUUGCAUGCAAUCAAAACUUGGCAUUUCAACAAUAUCCAAAGUUGGUCGAUUCACUGCAAAGUACUUCCCACGGUAGCAACACCAUCAUCUUCCUCAUCAUCAUCACUAUCAUACUAGCUUGCCUUUGCUUCCAUACGGUGUAGGUAUAUAUCCUCUUCAAGCCGCACUUCAACGUGUGUUUUCUCUGCGGCGAGAAUAGCGAGUUCUGUCAUUGUAUCUCGGUCUAUCUUGAGCUCUCUGGGGCUGCGGCUCAACUCUCCUCUGCCUCUCUGGUGAUCGUUGGACUAUCUCUCCAUUCACAAACAGCUCAGCUGUAAAGUCAACAACAGAGCCAUUAAGAAGAUAUUAAUCAGUAACUACUAGAUAACUUGAGUAAGAAUUGAGAUCUAAUCGAGAAAUACAUAUAAAAAAAAAGAAGCUGAUGUAUCUCUCGCAAUUGAUAUAAUCCAUUAAGACUCACUACUUUGCUAAGAUGGAUUAAGUGAAGCAUGAAGCAAAACAAGGGUUGCAAAUAUAUGUUCCAUCUCAACCAGGCUGCAGUUAGAUUAUAAUACAACCAAUCUGCAAAAAAUCGGCUAAGAUAAAGUACUUGAUGUCAGUCCAUUAGCAUUCAAAGCUAAUCAUAGCUCAAAGACUCAUUAGCUUCGCCAAGAUGGACUGAUAAUCAAAAACUGUUUUCAUGUUUCGAGAGGAAGAAAAAAAAAAAGCACUCGAGAGUUACAUGCUAUAUAUGUUCUCUCCUAAACCAGCUUGCAGUUAGAUAAUAUUAAUAACUAUCUGCAAAUAUUAGCUUAGAAGAGAAAAAUAGUUUUGGUGUCAGUCCAUUAGCAUUCAAAGCUAAUCAUAGCCAAAAAGACUCAUUAGCUUUGCCAAGAUGGACUAAUCAAAACAUUGCUUUCAUGUUUCAAAGAGUUGCAAAGUAAAUGGCACAUGUAAAGAUUUAAUUUUGAGAACUAAAACCAUACCAAAACCAAACACAUUGAACAAGAGGUGGAACAAUUAUUAGUUUAUUACCUCCGUAAUCUUUGUUUUCAGGAUCCACAUAGGAAUCAGGAAGCACAAACAGAACACCAGGCAAACCUGUUGAAAUUGUAAACAAAGAAAGAAACACUUAAAGGACACUCUUUUAUUAACACUAGCGAACACAAGAGAGAGUGAAGUGCAAGUAAAGACAAGACCUUCAAGCUUAGUAGAAGUCUCUUCAUCAAUCUCACACCCAAACCCUAAAUACCUCUCGCAAGAAACAUUGUAGAUUCGCUUCUUCGCCUCUUCCUCACUACACAAAACCAAAACAAAACAGAGUAAACACACAGCGACUCAAACACAUCAGCUAAGGUUUACCUUCCAACGACUUUGGCUAAGGUUUGGAUGUAGCAAUCAAUCAUCUCCUGCUUCGUCGCGCCUUCGCCUCCAGGCUUAUCCAUAACAAUCAGCCAGUGCUCGUAAUCGCACCCCGGAAACAGAGGCGCCAUCUCCGUCGGAGGCCGAUCGCUGAAGUUCGAGCCAGAGUUCAGCGGCGAGUAAGCGGAGCCUGACCGGUUAGCUCGGCAUCGGAUUGAGACGAACCGGGUCGAGCAAGCUAACCGAGAUCCAAUCACAUCGCAACCGGAACUAAAUCCGCUGCAGUUAACGGAGGAGGAAGUCUGAGGAGGUGCCACUAAGAUGGAACUGGACAAAAGUGGGAGGAGCGUGAGGUGGCGCGUGCCAGAGAUAGGCAAAGACAAGGCCAUUGUAGUAGGUAGGCGACUGAGGAAGCGAAACGAAGGUACUAGAGGUUUUAGUGUGGAUAGGGUUU